rnacentral:lncRNA from 1 species
GCCGGGCGUGGUGGCACACACCUUUAAUCCCAGCACUUGGGAAGCAGAGGCUGCGGAUUUCUGAGUUCGAGGCCAGCCUGGUCUACAGAGUGAGUUCCAGGACAGCCAGAGCUAUACAGAGAAACACUGUCUCGAAAAACCUAAAUAAAUAAAUAAAAAAGAAAGGGUUUCUCUGUAUAGCUCUGACUGUCCUAGAACUUGCUCUAUAGACCAGGUUGGCUUGGUAACAGAGAUCCACCUGCCU